GACGUAGGGGGCGAGCGUUGUCCGGAUUUAUUGGGCGUAAAGCGUGCGUAGGCGGCUGCGCAAGUCGGGUGUGAAACCCCGGGGCUCAACCCCGGAACUGCAUGCGAUACUGCGUGGCUAGAGGUAGGUAGGGGAGAUCGGAAUUCCUGGUGUAGCGGUGAAAUGCGCAGAUAUCAGGAGGAACACCGGUGGCGAAGGCGGGUCUCUGGGCAACUACUGACGCUGAGGAGCGAAAGCGUGGGGAGCGAACAGG
rnacentral:rRNA from 1 species